rnacentral:rRNA from 1 species
ACCUACCUCGGAUCAGACGAGACUACCCGCCGAAUUUAAGCAUAUCAGUAAGCG